rnacentral:lncRNA from 1 species
UAACUAUUAGGUUAAAAACUCGUCAGGGGUAAUCUUGUAAUUCGGUGAAGCCUUGGGUUUAAAGUCGGCUGGAACCAAGUCGCGCAUCUCGCGUCUCGACAUCGAUCGAUGGUACAUGAUGUACAUCGAUCGAUCAUAAUUUUCAAUCGUCGAGGCUUCUCUUCUGUAUCGAUCGACGGUACUGGAUGUGCAUCGAAUGAUUGCUUCUUCUUCGUAUCGACCUCAA